ACCACUUCGGUGGGGAUUAGUGGCGAACGGGUGAGUAACACGUGGGCAAUCUGCCCUGCACUCUGGGACAAGCCCUGGAAACGGGGUCUAAUACCGGAUACUGACCAUCGCAGGCAUCUGUGAUGUUCGAAAGCUCCGGCGGUGCAGGAUGAGCCCGCGGCCUAUCAGCUUGUUGGUGAGGUAAUGGCUCACCAAGGCGACGACGGGUAGCCGGCCUGAGAGGGCGACCGGCCACACUGGGACUGAGACACGGCCCAGACUCCUACGGGAGGCAGCAGUGGGGAAUAUUGCACAAUGGGCGAAAGCCUGAUGCAGCGACGCCGCGUGAGGGAUGACGGCCUUCGGGUUGUAAACCUCUUUCAGCAGGGAAGAAGCGAAAGUGACGGUACCUGCAGAAGAAGCGCCGGCUAACUACGUGCCAGCAGCCGCGGUAAUACGUAGGGCGCGAGCGUUGUCCGGAAUUAUUGGGCGUAAAGAGCUCGUAGGCGGCUUGUCACGUCGGUUGUGAAAGCCCGGGGCUUAACCCCGGGUCUGCAGUCGAUACGGGCAGGCUAGAGUUCGGUAGGGGAGAUCGGAAUUCCUGGUGUAGCGGUGAAAUGCGCAGAUAUCAGGAGGAACACCGGUGGCGAAAGCGGAUCUCUGGGCCGAUACUGACGCUGAGGAGCGAAAGCGUGGGGAGCGAACAGGAUUAGAUACCCUGGUAGUCCACGCCGUAAACGGUGGGCACUAGGUGUGGGCAACAUUCCACGUUGUCCGUGCCGCAGCUAACGCAUUAAGUG
rnacentral:rRNA from 1 species